rnacentral:rRNA from 1 species
AUUGAACGCUGGCGGCAGGCCUAGCACAUGCAAGUCGAACGGUAACAGGAAGAAGCUUGCUUCUUUGCUGACGAGUGGCGGACGGGUGAGUAAUGUCUGGGAAACUGCCUGAUGAAGGGGGAUAACUACUGGAAACGGUAGCUAAUACCGCAUAACGUCGCAAGACCAAAGAGGGGGACCUUCGGGCCUCUUGCCAUCGGAUGUGCCCAGAUGGGAUUAGCUAGUAGGUGGGGUAACGGCUCACCUAGGCGACGAUCCCUAGCUGGUCUGAGAGGAUGACCAGCCACACUGGAACUGAGACACGGUCCAGACUCCUACGGGAGGCAGCAGUGGGGAAUAUUGCACAAUGGGCGCAAGCCUGAUGCAGCCAUGCCGCGUGUAUGAAGAAGGCCUUCGGGUUGUAAAGUACUUUCAGCGGGGAGGAAGGGAGUAAAGUUAAUACCUUUACUCAUUGACGUUACCCGCAGAAGAAGCACCGGCUAACUCCGUG